GCAGUAGCCGCGGGAAUACAGAGGGUGCGAGCGUUAAUCGGAUUUACUGGGCGUAAAGCGUGCGUAGGCGGCUUCUUAAGUCGGAUGUGAAAUCCCUGAGCUUAACUUAGGAAUUGCAUUCGAUACUGGGAAGCUAGAGUAUGGGAGAGGAUGGUAGAAUUCCAGGUGUAGCGGUGAAAUGCGUAGAGAUCUGGAGGAAUACCGAUGGCGAAGGCAGCCAUCUGGCCUAAUACUGACGCUGAGGUACGAAAGCAUGGGGAGCAAACAGGAUUAGAUACCCGCGUAGUCCCUGUCUCUUAUAC
rnacentral:rRNA from 1 species